rnacentral:rRNA from 1 species
CGCGAUCCUAGGUCAGGUGGGGUUACCUACUGAAUUUAA